rnacentral:rRNA from 1 species
CCUACGGGUGGCAGCAGUGGGGAAUAUUGGACAAUGGGCGAAAGCCUGAUCUAGCCAUGCCGCGUGUGUGAAGAAGGCCUUCGGGUUGUAAAGCACUUUCAGUGGGGAAGAAAGCCUUGGGGCUAAUACCCUCGAGGAAGGACAUCACCCACAGAAGAAGCACCGGCUAACUCCGUGCCAGCAGCCGCGGUAAUACGGAGGGUGCGAGCGUUAAUCGGAAUUACUGGGCGUAAAGCGCGCGUAGGCGGUCUGAUAAGCCGGUUGUGAAAGCCCCGGGCUCAACCUGGGAACGGCAUCCGGAACUGUCAGGCUAGAGUGCAGGAGAGGAAGGUAGAAUUCCCGGUGUAGCGGUGAAAUGCGUAGAGAUCGGGAGGAAUACCAGUGGCGAAGGCGGCCUUCUGGACUGACACUGACGCUGAGGUGCGAAAGCGUGGGUAGCAAACAGGAUUAGAUACCCCGGUAGUC